rnacentral:rRNA from 1 species
UACGUAGGGGGCGAGCGUUGUCCGGAUUUAUUGGGCGUAAAGAGCUCGUAGGCGGUUUGGUAAGUCGGAUGUGAAAUCUCCAGGCUUAACCUGGAGGGGUCAUUCGAUACUGCUAUGACUAGAGUCCGGUAGGGGAGUGUGGAAUUCCUGGUGGAGCGGUGAAAUGCGCAGAGAUCAGGAGGAACACCCGUAGCGAAGGCGGCACUCUGGGCCGGAACUGACGCUGAGGAGCGAAAGCGUGGGGAGCAAACAGG